UUUCAUUCUUGCUUGUAUUUUUUAGGUUGCGUCAGGGAUGUGCCUCUCCACAAUUGAUGUGUCGGAGAUCCAGAAAUCAGAGAACUUUUAUCGAUGAUUCUUGUAGUUGGAUAUUCAUGGCUACUUUUGAGGUGAAGGCAGGUCGAGAAUGGUGGAACUCCUGCUGAUACUAAUUGCAGUUGGGUAUUGUAGGUGGGUUUAAAGUUGCUUGAGAUGAUAUUCAUUUGCUUUGUUCUCCUUUCCCUCUUGAAAUUUCUCCUUAUAAAGUUGAAGAAGGUCUUGCCUGGCAGGAAAGAAAAUGGAAAUGGAAUCCAAUGAUUGCUUUGAUGUCACUGCUUGUGAAAGUUGAAUUUCAAUGCGUGUUCUUAGACCGUAGGAGCAUUAUAUAUUUCUGAGGAUUUAAUCUAAAAUCGUUUAGAAUGGAGAAAGCGAAUUCAUAUAGUGGACUCUAAAUUAAAAAAAAAAAAAAAAAAAAAGCUGAAUUGAGUUGUUCUUAGAUUGUAGGAGCAGCUGCUCUUUUGGAACCCCCAUAGCACGCGGUAGACAUUAGUUCAAUUGGGCUCUGCGUGAGUGGGAGGUUGCAUUUAUAUAUACAUUAAAGGCCCAUGAUCUUUUGUGGUGGAUCCAUUUUUGGGUGGCCUGUUUGAAAUGGAGUUGGUCCCAUCUAUGGAGAUUAAACCAAAAAAGAUCAUGGGCCUUU
rnacentral:misc_RNA from 1 species